rnacentral:lncRNA from 1 species
AAGAUGCCAAACCCGUGUUACAGACACUGACUGGAUAUUAGCCGCGUUUGAACAGAUGCCCGUGUCUGAAUUGGAGAUCUUUACAAAUGGGAGACUCAGGCUGCCAGGCUCUGUCAUGCCCAGUCCCACCCGUGAUGGGGCCCAGAUUCAGGUGGUGGCCAAGGGCAAGAGAAACAGUCGAGUGGAGCACGACGUGGGAGGCAGGAGGAAGGCCCUGCCUAAGGGCAACACCUCAGAGAGCAGGGGAGGUGCAGGGCAUGGGGUCUGGUGAGAGACAGACUAACACUCCAAUACCCCCUCUUCACCCAGGGAAAUCUAAAAUAACCUCCCCAGGGCUGUCUUAGGGAAUAGCAGAAGCCAUUCUGUAGGGACGUGGCCAUGUUCACCCCCAGCAUCUGUCCCCACUUUUCAUUUCCACAGGGACACCCCUCUCCCACUCUCAGGCCGUGAGCCUUGUGUGUGACCAGCUCCACCUGUCUCCAAUCAAGAUCCCUCCUCCUGGCCUCUGUGUCUGACUCAGGAAGGGACACAGGCUCUGGAGGUGAUGCUGGGGUUGGGGUCCUGGAUCCUCCCCGUGGUGGCUGUGUGACUUUUGGCCAAC